rnacentral:rRNA from 1 species
CAGCCUGCCCAGUGACAAAGUUCAACGGCCGCGGUACCCUAACCGUGCGAAGGUAGCAUAAUCACUUGUUCUUUAAAUGAGGACUUGUAUCAACGGCACUACGAGGGCUAUACUGUCUCCUUUUUCUAAUCAGUGAAACUGAUCUCCCCGUGAAGAAGCGGGGAUCAAAAUAUAAGACGAGAAGACCCCAUGGAGCUUUAAACUUACCACACACCUCUGUGGUACCACACCAUUUGACACAAGAGACCUGCGUGCUAGUUUUAGGUUGGGGGGACCACGGAGUAUAAUUAAACCUCCACAACAAAUGGGCUAAUACCCUUAUCCACGAGACACAACUCUAAGAAUUACUAAACUAAUGCUUAUGACCCGAUAUUCGAUCAAUGAACCAAGUUACCCUGGGGAUAACAGCGCAAUCUACUUCAAGAGCCCCUAUCGACAAGUAGGUUUACGACCUCGAUGUUGGAUCAGGGUAUCCCGGUGGUGCAGCCGCUACCGAUGGUUCGUUUGUUCAACGAUUAAAACCCUACGUGAUCUGA